UCAUGGCUCUGCCUACCAAGGAGUUGUGUGCUUCAGGGCAAGUCAUCCAAACUCUCUCACCUUGAUGUCUUUACUGUAAAAUGGAACUAGUACUAAUAUCUUUCAGGAUACUGAAAGCAAAACUCUUCCAGCCCCCAGGGCAGAGAGCCUACAUUCACCUCAGAGCUUCCCCUCAGCUCCUGAAGCCCAACAGCCACUUCCUGGGACAAUACUCUCCUCCAGAAUGUGCGGGCAGUGACCCAAGGAUGUCCACAGACUAAGCUGUCUUCAGGAUGCAUAGCAUUGUUUCUCACACCUGAAUUUUCUGUUGCUGUCAAGCUGAGGUGAUGCACAUACAUGUAUUGAUUUAGAUCAGCUAAAAAGGAUUUCCCAGGAAGAUUUCUUUUUCAAAAGAUGCCACCAACUUCUACUACUCUGAACAGGACUCAAGACACUAUUUGAGGAUAAAAAUGCCAUGAUUACCAAAGUCUA